GGCGAACGGGUGAGUAACACGUGGGUGAUCUGCCCCUGACUUUGGGAUAAGCCUGGGAAACUGGGUCUAAUACCGGAUAUGACCAAGGAUUGCAUGGUUCUUGGUGGAAAGCUUUUGCGGUUGGGGAUGGGCCCGCGGCCUAUCAGCUUGUUGGUGGGGUAAUGGCCUACCAAGGCGACGACGGGUAGCCGACCUGAGAGGGUGAUCGGCCACACUGGGACUGAGACACGGCCCAGACUCCUACGGGAGGCAGCAGUGGGGAAUAUUGCACAAUGGGCGCAAGCCUGAUGCAGCGACGCCGCGUGAGGGAUGACGGCCUUCGGGUUGUAAACCUCUUUCAGCAGGGACGAAGCGCGAGUGACGGUACCUGCAGAAGAAGCACCGGCCAACUACGUGCCAGCAGCCGCGGUAAUACGUAGGGUGCGAGCGUUGUCCGGAAUUACUGGGCGUAAAGAGCUCGUAGGCGGUUUGUCGCGUCGUCUGUGAAAUUCUGCAGCUUAACUGCAGGCGUGCAGGCGAUACGGGCAGACUUGAGUACUACAGGGGAGACUGGAAUUCCUGGUGUAGCGGUGAAAUGCGCAGAUAUCAGGAGGAACACCGGUGGCGAAGGCGGGUCUCUGGGUAGUAACUGACGCUGAGGAGCGAAAGCGUGGGUAGCGAACAGGAUUAGAUACCCUGGUAGUCCACGCCGUAAACGGUGGGUACUAGGUGUGGGUUCCAUUUCACGGGGAUCCGUGCCGUAGCUAACGCAUUAAGUACCCCGCCUGGGGAGUACGGCCGCAAGGCU
rnacentral:rRNA from 1 species